rnacentral:rRNA from 1 species
AGGGUUUGAUUCUGGCUCAGGAUAAACGCUGGCGGCGCACAUAAGACAUGCAAGUCGAACGGACUUAAUCGAUUCUUUUAGAUUCGAAGCGGUUAGUGGCGGACUGGUGAGUAACACGUAAGCAACCUGCCUAUUAGAGGGGAAUAACAGUGAGAAAUCACUGCUAAAACCGCAUAUGCCGUGAACAUCGCAUGAUGAAAACGGGAAAAGAGCAAUCUGCUAAUAGAUGGGCUUGCGUCUGAUUAGCUAGUUGGUGUGGUAAUGGCAUACCAAGGCAACGAUCAGUAGCCGGACUGAGAGGUUGAACGGCCACAUUGGGACUGAGAUACGGCCCAG